CACGCUUUACACGGAUCUGUUUUCCCGUGUGUCUGUCUGAUAUUUGUUUGAGUUGAGGGCAGGCCAUGAUAAAGAUGUUUGAAUCCAGACUCGCCUGAGGAUAAAGAAUGCUCCCACUGUUUCUUAUAGUGUCAACACAGGUUAUUUUUAUAUAUUUUUAGGAACGCUUGCAAACCAAUUGAUAGUUAUUUGCGAGAGUAUUGCACACAGCUGGUUCACCAUUUGCGUAUAGCAUACUAUAUAUCCAAACUAAAUCUGUUGUGGAUUUUUGUGGA